CAGCUAGUGGCCCCGCCCGCGCUUAGCAUCACUAACUGGGCUAUAUAACCUGAGCGCCCGCGCGGCCAGGACACGAGGAAUUCGCCCACGCAGGAGGCACGGCGUCCGGAGGCCCCAGGGUUAUGAGACUAUCACUGCUCAGGACCUACUAACAACAAAGGGGUUCCAGAAAGCUGACCUCAUUUAGCAAGCUGCUCCAGAAAAAUAGUCUGAUGAAGAAUAAAAGAGCCAAUGCAACAUCUUGUGGAACACCAGGACUGAGAACUCUUGUUGUUACCAUUGCA
rnacentral:lncRNA from 1 species